rnacentral:tRNA from 1 species
UCCCUUGUGGCUUAGUUGGUAAAGAAUCCACCUGCAAUGUGGGAGACCUGGGUUUGAUCCCUGGGUUGGGAA